rnacentral:lncRNA from 1 species
CCAAGACCCCAAGAGAUGCCUCCUAGGGAAAAUGUCAAAAUGGUGGGAAAAAAUGGUGGAUAACGCCGUAACCCCGUAUCGGCAAAAGUGUGCUCCGUUUAACGUGGAUUUGUUCAUUUUCUUUAAACUGUGUCAUUAGGGGAUGGGUGGAAAAAUGAAUGAAUGUCGUUCGGCUGGAUCUGUGUAAUGGCCAUGAUCUGUGUCAACGUGGAUUCGUUAACUUACCAAAAGAAUGAAAGAAGCUUACAGACCACUUUUGAAGAAAGAAAUCUAAAAUUGUUAAUUUAUCCACUGCAAUUUCAAAUGCAGUGGAUGCAAUUGGUUCAAUUUUGUUGUCAGCAUAUUGAUCUUUUUCUUUUUCACUUCUCAAAUUGACUGAAACGAGUGAAACAUUUUCACACCACAAAUUGACCUAAACAUUAUUCAAACCUGUUGGGUUUCGGAGGUGGCAGUUAAGAGUAUGCCAGGUCGGGAAAUGGUAACAUAUUUUAAUGUUUUCUUCUUAAAAUAAUAUGUUUUCCUAGUAAAAUUAGCGAAAUUUCUGUUAGUUUUGAUCGCAUUGGAGUACAGUUUUAUUUUUUAUUAUCUAACAGGUCUGUUCAAGGUUUACAGCAAACUUAUAAAUUUGAUUUAAGUUAAACAUUUUAAAAGAAGUCUGUAGCCCAUCCUAAUUUUUCGUCCUUUAGGUUUCAACUCUUCCAAUUCCCUUUCAAGUUCUUUACAUUAAUUUUUUAAAAAGCAGUUAAAAGCAGAAAAAAAAUAUAGCUGCUAUCCAUGCUCCCCAUGCAUGUGCACAGUGAGGGGCUGUCUCCUAGUAUUCAUUUUAUCUUUGGUUAUUUUGAUCGAGGGAAUAUUUAGCUGGUGGUAAGCUGAAAAACUGUUUUGGCCUUUUUCAAAAUGGAGGAUUUACAGGAGCGUAUCUAGCCAAGCAAUUCCUCGCGCUAUGGAAGGACAUUUACGUCUUGCAAAACAUGAGCGUCAGCCGAUUGCCCAAAAUAACUGACAAUUCAUUUUCAGAUGACUGCUGCCCAUUCAACCAACAAAAGUUUGAGGCAACCAUAAUUCCAAAAGCUGGUUCAUUGCAAAACGCAUGUUGUCGAAAAAACUGACAAUUGGGAAGAAAUCGUCUGGUGAUGAAACUCUAGUCAUGGAGGACGUAAAUACGUGACUACUCGUUUCCCCAUCAAAUGAACGUUGCUGCAGUUUUGGCCAAGAUGGAAUUUGAAAGCUUCUUUAUCACGAGCUAUACUAUCCGAGGGAGAUGACUCCCACGAGGCCACGAUGCAGUUGUCAAACGAGUAUACGGUUAAACAAUUUAUAUCUGGAACUCGACAAACGCAUCACGCAUCUCUGCCUCCAACAACCACUGCUCUCUAACACAGCACGGAGUUUUGAUAUUUAGAUUGUCUGGCGGUUUCUUUAGGGAAGAUGAUAUUGCUGAGCAGAAUAUUGCCGCUAGAUGACUAGAAUGGCUUAGAUCGUUUUCAGCUUUUAGAUUGCGAGAAAGCAGAAAUAUUUCUGCGUUUUCAGAACGGAUAUAUUCAGGGAAGUACUUCUUUCAUUAAUCGAAUUAAAUUCUCUAUUAAAUAAUUAAUUUAGAUACAGAUUUUCGGUUGUUUCAAUUAACUUGAAAUUUUAAAAUUUAGUUCUGGCUUCUGGGACUGGACCGCGGGGUUGUUAUAGACCGAAGUGGCGAUGCAGUGACAACUGAAUUCACAUUGGCUGGGGCAGUGUAUGUGGGAGCGGUGAAAGUUGGAUUAUAGACUGGUUUGCUCCGAUCCGAAAUUGGCCCGUUUCAUCUGGAGACAGAACUAUUCUAACUUGGCUGAAGGAUUGAAUUUUGUGAGGUCGUGCGAACAAGAAAAACGGAACUUUGGCUACGGUGGCCACCUGCAGUCACUCACCACGGGAUUAUGGCCAGUUCAGGAAAAUUCUCGAUUUUGGCCAAAUUUUGGAUUUCGUUUUAAUCACACCUGAUCGACCCCAAAUUUUAUGGGGAUCACGAAUAUGUGGUUUAAUUUGAUGGCAGCUUAAUGGUUGAGGCACUGUGGUUACUUCCGGUAUACUUCCGGAAAAUAUUCGAAAAAUUAGCAAGUAAUGCAGAGGAGACGUCGAGAAGAUGGAUUUUCUCAUCUCUAAACAUCGUCACCGGUCUCCGUCGGAUGUUGCCCUGCUCGGUGCGAACGAAAGUCGGUGGAGUGAAUGGAUGUAAGAUUAAUGCGCCAACAAAAUACUUCUGGCAAUGGAAAUGGACAAUCGCUGGAAGUGGAAAGGGAUCAUCACUGGCAACGGAAAGGGACAAUCGCGACCGGCACCGAGACUCGUCAUCAACGGGAACAAUCGCGACCGGCACCGAGACUCGUCAUCAACGUGGAUCAUCGUAUUGUUGGUAUUAUUUCGUUUGUGUCAGUGUUAGUUAACCCGUUAGCUGCCACGCCUUUGUUCUCCCCUAGCU